CUACCUUUCUCGGCCUUUUGAAUAAGAUCAAGUGUAGGAUCUGUUCUUAUCAGUUUAAUAUCUGAUAUGUGAGUUAUUGACUCACACUUUAAUUCAAUUUUUUUACGGGGAAAGUCCACUACGGUAGCUUGCUAUCGGGACUUUCUGGUGUCGCCUUGGCGUAGCACUACUGCUUUGGCUAGGCACACCCCAC
rnacentral:snRNA from 1 species